ensembl:misc_RNA 7SK 7SK RNA
GGAUGUGAGGCUGAUCUGGCUGCAACAUCUGUCACCCCAUUGAUCACCAGGGUUGAUUCGGCUGAUCUGGCUGGCUAGGCGGGUGUCCCCUUCCUCCCUCACAGUUCCAUCUGCAUCCCUCCCGAAGCCACGCUGUAUCGAAGAGGAUGACCAUCUGAGAUAGAGGAGGACCGAUCUUCGGUCAAGGGUAUACAAGUAGCUGCACUCCCCUGCUAGAACCUCUAAACAAGCCCUCAAAGACAUUUAAAGGAACAUUUAAGGAAUAAAUAUAAUCCUUAUUUUUUUUAAUCUGAUAUAGAUUUUAUGCUAUA